UUACCAAAGACAUAGCCCUAAAGUAAAAUAUUUAAGGUGAUACCUGGUCAGUGAGUUUUUUUUAUUAAACACACGUCUUAGCGUGAGGAUGAUAAUGUAUCAUAAUAAAUUGGCAUUUAAUUGGUGUCUGGAAGGAAUGGUAAUAUAAUUUUAACUUUGUCUCAUUAAUAUUUUUAAAAAAAUUUAAAUAACAGUUAAGAUGCUGUUUAAGUAUUAUAAGACGAGAAGACCCCAGAACCUUCACUAUUAAAAUUAUAUUUAAAUUAAUUAUAAAUUUAUAGUUUAACUGGGACGGUUAUCUUUUAAAUAAACAAAGAGAAUUAAAAAAAAAUAAAAAUUUAUAUAUAUAUAAUAUCUUAAAUUUGUUUAUAAAAAAUUUAUUAACAAUAAAAAAACUUGAAAUUUUGAUCAUUUGGUUAAUAUUCUUGAAAAGGUACUCUGGGGAUAACAGCGUUAUCUGAAAAAAAAGAUGAUAUUAAAUUUCAGGUUUGCGACCUCGAUGUUGAAUUGGGAUAUCCUUAAAAUAGUAAAAGUUUUGAAGGGUUAGAUUGUUCAUCUAUUAAAAUCCUACAUGAUUUGAGUUCACUUCGUCGUGAGACAGGAAGGU
rnacentral:rRNA from 1 species